rnacentral:rRNA from 1 species
AUUGAACGCUGGCGGCAUGCUUUACACAUGCAAGUCGAACGGUAACAGGCCGCAAGGUGCUGACGAGUGGCGAACGGGUGAGUAAUGCAUCGGAACGUGCCCAGUCGUGGGGGAUAACUACUCGAAAGAGUAGCUAAUACCGCAUACGAUCUAUGGAUGAAAGCGGGGGACCGUAAGGCCUCGCGCGAUUGGAGCGGCCGAUGUCAGAUUAGGUAGUUGGUUGGGGUAAAGGCUCACCAAGCCAACGAUCUGUAGCUGGUCUGAGAGGACAACCAGCCACACUGGGACUGAGACACGGCCCAGACUCCUACGGGAGGCAGCAGUGGGGAAUUUUGGACAAUGGGCGCAAGCCUGAUCCAGCAAUGCCGCGUGCAGGAAGAAGGCCUUCGGGUUGUAAACUGCUUUUGUACGGAACGAAACGGCUCUGGUUAAUACCCGGGGCUAAUGACGGUACCGUAAGAAUAAGCACCGGCUAACUACGUG